rnacentral:rRNA from 1 species
CCUACGGGGUGCAGCAGUGGGGAAUAUUGGACAAUGGGCGAAAGCCUGAUCCAGCCAUGCCGCGUGUGUGAAGAAGGCCUUCGGGUUGUAAAGCACUUUCAGUGGGGAAGAAAGCCUUGGGGCUAAUACCCUCGAGGAAGGACAUCACCCACAGAAGAAGCACCGGCUAACUCCGUGCCAGCAGCCGCGGUAAUACGGAGGGUGCGAGCGUUAAUCGGAAUUACUGGGCGUAAAGCGCGCGUAGGCGGUCUGAUAAGCCGGUUGUGAAAGCCCCGGGCUCAACCUGGGAACGGCAUCCGGAACUGUCAGGCUAGAGUGCAGGAGAGGAAGGUAGAAGUCCCGGUGUAGCGGUGAAAUGCGUAGAGAUCGGGAGGAAUACCAGUGGCGAAGGCGGCCUUCUGGACUGACACUGACGCUGAGGUGCGAAAGCGUGGGUAGCAAACAGGAUUAGAUACCCUUGUAGUC